AGUGAACGCUGGCGGCAGGCCUAAUACAUGCAAGUCGAACGGCAGCACAGCAGAGCUUGCUCUGUGGGUGGCGAGUGGCGGACGGGUGAGGAAUACAUGGGAAUCUGCCCAGUCGUGGGGGAUAACGUAUGGAAACGUACGCUAAUACCGCAUGCGCCCUAAGGGGGAAAGCCGGGGACCGCAAGGCCUGGCGCGAUUGGAUGAGCCCAUGUUCGAUUAGCUAGUUGGCGGGGUAAAGGCCCACCAAGGCGACGAUCGAUAGCUGGUCUGAGAGGAUGAUCAGCCACACUGGAACUGAGACACGGUCCAGACUCCUACGGGAGGCAGCAGUAGGGAAUAUUGGACAAUGGGGGCAACCCUGAUCCAGCCAUGCCGCGUGAGUGAAGAAGGCCCUCGGGUUGUAAAGCUCUUUUGUCCGGAAAGAAAGCACUGGGUUAAUACCCCGGUGUCCUGACGGUACCGGAAGAAUAAGCACCGGCUAACUUCGUGCC
rnacentral:rRNA from 1 species